GACGAACGCUGGCGGCGUGCUUAACACAUGCAAGUCGAACGAAGUGGCGAACGGGUGAGUAACGCGUAAUCAACCUGCACUUCAGAGGGGGACAACAGUUGGAAACGACUGCUAAUACCGCAUAAUGAAGGAGGGGAUUGCGGCUGAUUCGCUAGUUGGAGGGGUAACGGCCCACCAAGGCGAUGAUCAGUAGACGGUCUGGGAGGAUGAACGGCCAAAUUGGGACGGAGACACGGCCCAGACUCCUACGGGAGGCAGCAGUGGGGAAUCUUCCGCAAUGGACGAAAGUCUGACGGAGCAACGCCGCGUGAUUGAUGACGGCCUUCGGGUUGUAAAGCUCUGUUAAUCGGGACGCGGUACCGGAAUAGAAAGCCACGGCUAACUACGUGCCAGCAGCCGCGGUAAUUC
rnacentral:rRNA from 1 species